UGAGGAAUCUUGCACAAUGGGCGAAAGCCUGAUGCAGCGACGCCGCGUGGAGGAUGAAGGUCUUCGGAUUGUAAACUCCUGUUAAGUGGGAAGAAAAGCCCCUUUCUAAUACAGAGGGGAUAUGACGGUACCACUAGAGAAAGCACCGGCUAACUUCGUGCCAGCAGCCGCGGUAAUACGAGGGGUGCAAGCGUUAUUCGGAAUCAUUGGGCGUAAAGGGCGUGUAGACGGUAUAUUAAGUCAACUGUUAAAUUCUCCGGCCUAACCGGGGGCAAUGCAGUAGAUACUGAUGUGCUAGAGGGUGGAAGAGAGAAGUGGAAUUCUCGGAGUAGCGGUAAAAUGCGUAGAUCUCGAGAGGAACACCGAUGGCGAAGGCAGCUUCUUGGUCCACAUCUGACGU
rnacentral:rRNA from 1 species